rnacentral:misc_RNA from 1 species
AUCUACAGCAAUGGUAACGAGUAUAGUUAGAUAGUACCGUACAUUUGAAUUUGCGAUGUGUUGCACAAUGAAGCAUUUCAUUAUAAAUUUGAAAAUGAAGAAAAUAUUGCUAUAAAACUAUUAUUUUCUACAAAAUGAAGCAUUAUGUUAAACAUGUGCCCAUGACAAAGCACUGCUGAAAAAUGUUGCAUGUCUGUAUGUUGAAGCCUCCGCCAAC